rnacentral:tRNA from 2 species
GGAAGGUAAGCGAUUGGUUUAGCGGGUGUCUUGGAAAGGCACUAAGGGUGUUACAGCCCGGCAGGGUUCAAUUCCCUGGCCUUCCGC